rnacentral:rRNA from 1 species
AGAUUGAACGCUAGCGGGAUGCUUUACACAUGCAAGUCGAACGGCAGCGCGGACUUCGGUCUGGCGGCGAGUGGCGAACGGGUGAGUAAUAUAUCGGAACGUGCCCAGUAGCGGGGGGAUAACUACGCGAAAGCGUGGCUAAUACCGCAUACGCCCUACGGGGGAAAGGGGGGGAUCGCAAGACCUCUCACUAUUGGAGCGGCCGAUAUCAGAUUAGCUAGUUGGUGAGGUAAAGGCUCACCAAGGCGACGAUCUGUAGCUGGUUUGAGAGGACGACCAGCCACACUGGGACUGAGACACGGCCCAGACUCCUACGGGAGCAGCAGUGGGAAUUUUGGACAAUGGGGGAAACCCUGAUCCAGCCAUCCCGCGUGUGCGAUGAAGGCCUUCGGGUUGUAAGCACUUUUGGCUAGGAAAGAAACGGCGUACCUUUAAGUACGGGUCGUCACUGACGGUACCUAGCAGAAUAAGCACCGCUAACUACGUGACCAGCAGCCG